GCGGCUCAGUGGUGGAACAUCUGCUUUGCAUGCAGAAGGCCCCAGGUUGCUGGACUCCUGCCUAAAACCCUAGGGGAACCA